rnacentral:rRNA from 1 species
CCUACGGCGGCUGCAGUGGGGAAUAUUGGACAAUGGGCGAAAGCCUGAUCCAGCCAUGCCGCGUGUGUGAAGAAGGCCUUCGGGUUGUAAAGCACUUUCAGUGGGGAAGAAAGCCUUGGGGCUAAUACCCUCGAGGAAGGACAUCACCCACAGAAGAAGCACCGGCUAACUCCGUGCCAGCAGCCGCGGUAAUACGGAGGGUGCGAGCGUUAAUCGGAAUUACUGGGCGUAAAGCGCGCGUAGGCGGUCUGAUAAGCCGGUUGUGAAAGCCCCGGGCUCAACCUGGGAACGGCAUCCGGAACUGUCAGGCUAGAGUGCAGGAGAGGAAGGUAGAAUUCCCGGUGUAGCGGUGAAAUGCGUAGAGAUCGGGAGGAAUACCAGUGGCGAAGGCGGCCUUCUGGACUGACACUGACGCUGAGGUGCGAAAGCGUGGGUAGCAAACAGGAUUAGAUACCCCUGUAGUC